CUUAGUAACGGCGAGUGAACCGGGAAAAGCUCAAAUUUGUAAUCUGGCUGUCUUCGAUAGUCCGAGUUGUAAUCUAUAGACGUGUUUUCCGUGCUGGACCGUAUCUAAGUCCCUUGGAACAGGGUAUCAAAGAGGGUGACAAUCCCGUGCUUGAUACUGACCACCAGUGCUCUGUGAUACACGCUCUACGAGUCGAGUUGUUUGGGAAUGCAGCUCAAAAUGGGUGGUAAAUUCCAUCUAAAGCUAAAUAUUGGCGAGAGACCGAUAGCGAACAAGUACCGUGAGGGAAAGAUGAAAAGCACUUUGGAAAGAGAGUUAAACAGUACGUGAAAUUGUUGAAAGGGAAACGAUUGAAAUCAGUCGUGUUCUUUGGAUUCAGCUAGUUCUUCUAGUCUACUUCCAUUGAACGGGUCAACAUCAGUUUUGUCCGGUGGAUAAAGAUAGUAGGAAUGUAGCUCCCCCGGGAGUGUUAUAGACUAUUAUUGCAUACACUGGGUGAGACUGAGGACUGCAGCUCGCCUUUUGGCCGGUCUUCGGACACGUUCGAGCUUAGGAUGUUGACAUAAUGGCUUUAAACGACCCGUCUUGAA
rnacentral:rRNA from 1 species